rnacentral:rRNA from 1 species
UUUGACAUGUACGGAAUUCGCCAGAGAUGGCUUAGUGCUCGAAAGAGAACCGUAACACAGGUGCUGCAUGGCUGUCGUCAGCUCGUGUCGUGAGAUGUUGGGUUAAGUCCCGCAACGAGCGCAACCCUUGUCAUUAGUUGCUACAUUCAGUUGGGCACUCUAAUGAGACUGCCGGUGACAAACCGGAGGAAGGUGGGGAUGACGUCAAGUCCUCAUGGCCCUUAUAGGUGG